ACGGGACCGCACAAGCAGCGGAGCGUGUGGUUUAAUUUCGAUGCUACACGAAGAACCUUACCAGGGUUUGACAUGCAAGUGGUAGGAAACUGAAAAGGGACCGACCCUUCGGGAGCUUGCACAGGUGCUGCAUGGCUGUCGUCAGCUCGUGUCGUGAGAUGUUCGGUUAAGUCCGCUAACGAGCGCAACCCUCACUGUGUGUUAUAUGUGUCACACGGGACUGCCGGUUUUAAGCCGGAGGAAGGUGGGAUGACGUCAAGUCAGCAUGGCCUUUAUAUCCUGGGCUACACACACGCUACAAUGGUCGGUACAAUAGGUUGCCAAGCCGCGAGGCGGAGCCAAUCCAAAAAAGCCGGCCUCAGUUCAGAUUGUAGGCUGCAACUCGCCUGCAUGAAGUUGGAGUUGCUAGUAAACGCAGGUCAGCCAUACUGCGUUGAAUACGUUCCCGGGGCUU
rnacentral:rRNA from 1 species